UACGUAGGGGGCAAGCGUUGUCCGGAAUCAUUGGGCGUAAAGAGCGUGUAGGCGGCUUGGUAAGUCCGCUGUGAAAGUCCAGGGCUCAACCCUGGAAUGCCGGUGGAAACUGUCAGGCUCGAGUCCGGAAGAGGCGAGUGGAAUUCCCGGUGUAGCGGUGAAAUGCGCAGAUAUCAGGAAGAACACCAAUGGCGAAGGCAGCUCUCUGGGACGGUACUGACGCUGAGACGCGAAAGCGUGGGGAGCGAACAGG
rnacentral:rRNA from 1 species